UUUCCGCUUCCGGUUGGAUUGUUGACCAUGGCGGCCUUGAGGAGGGUGGCGGGCUUGCAGAGGUUGCUGGGGUUACCGGUUCGUGCGGUCUCCUCCGGCCGAACAGCGAAUUCCACGGUUUCUGCCCGGAUUCCCCCGGCCUCUCGCCCUCUGGAGGUGGUUGAAUGGCACCCAAUGGAGAAGGAGAAGGAGAAGAGCCCUUUCGUCAAGGCCCAGACAGAAUCCAUGAAGGUCCUGUUCCGUCUUAGUUCAGCGUGCCCAUGAAUGUGUCCAUUGGCUUCCAUGUGGUUUCGAGGAAGCGGUGAAAACAAAAUCCAGACUUUCAUGGCUUCCAUGAAGAUCCUGUUAUUGAUGUGCAGUAUAUGCAUGUUAGCUUCUUCUUUGGAAUAUCUAUUUGCCUUGUAUUGGGCAGCACCUUCCUGUAUUAUCUGCCUGACCAAAAGUAAGAUUCACAAGCUAAAUGUUGUUUUC